rnacentral:rRNA from 1 species
CCUGUUAAGUCAGAUGUAGAAACGGCCCGGGGACUUUAACCGUACGGUAAUUGCUAUUUAGUAAACGUGGCGAGGCUAGAGUCUUGUAGGAGGGGGGUAGGAAUUUCAGGUGUAGCGGUGAAAUGCGUAGAGAUCUGAAGGAAUACCAGUGGCGAAGGCGGCCCCCUGGACAAAGACUGACGCUCAGAUGCGAAAGCGUGGGGAGCAAACAGGAUUAGAUACCCUGGUAG